AUCGGUCGCGACCCCAGGUCAGGCGGGAUUACCCG
rnacentral:rRNA from 1 species